rnacentral:rRNA from 1 species
UACGGAGGGAGCUAGCGUUGUUCGGAAUUACUGGGCGUAAAGCGCACGUAGGCGGAUUUGUAAGUCAGGGGUGAAAUCCCGGGGCUCAACCUCGGAACUGCCUUUGAUACUGGGUGUCUUGAGUAUGGAAGAGGUGAGUGGAAUUCCGAGUGUAGAGGUGAAAUUCGUAGAUAUCGGGAGGAACACCAGUGGCGAAGGCGGCGACCUGGACGGACACUGACGCUGAGACGCGAAAGCCAGGGGAGCGAACGGG